GUUCAGCGCGCACAACACGAGCGGCCAUUUCAUUACAGCACGUGUAUGUAGUUGGACCUUGCUUGCUUAAGUUCUUGGUGAAAUUGUAUUUAACAUUUUAUUUUGUGUAUUUUAACAGAACUUAUGUAAACUUAAACAUGUCUUUAGUUAUAAUACUUUAGUGAUUAUUUACUAGUUUCACUAUUAGGGUUUAUUGGAGUGUGCUUGUGAUCAGAGAAUAAGAACGUAGGGGGACCAGAAAACGUGGACACCACAAGGCCGAUGCCGUCUUCACUUGCAAUACGACUUGUUAACUUUGCCUUAUUUUAAUAACGCAAUAUAAAUUAGUAUUAUUAGUAUUAUUCAACAUUUCAGUUUGUGUGUAAUAAACAAUUAUUUGGGACUUAA